rnacentral:tRNA from 7 species
GCCUCCCUAACUCAGUUGGUAGAGUGUCGGACUGUUAAUCCGAAUGUCACAGGUUCGAGCCCUGUGGGGGGCG